rnacentral:rRNA from 1 species
UGGGGAAUUUUUCGCAAUGGGGGAAACCCUGACGAAGCAACGCCGCGUGGAUGAUGAAGUCUCUUGGGACGUAAAAUCCUUUCGACGGGGAAGAAACCGCAAGGUUGACGGUACCCGUAGAAGAAGCCCCGGCUAACUCCGUGCCAGCAGCCGCGGUAAUACGGGGGGGGCAAGCGUUGUUCGGAAUUACUGGGCGUAAAGGGCGCGUAGGCGGUCCGCUAAGUUGAACGUGAAAACUCUGGGCUUAACCCAGAGCCUGCAUUCAAUACUGGCGGGCUAGAGUUCUGGAGGGGAUAGCGGAAUUCCUGGUGUAGCGGUGAAAUGCGUAGAUAUCAGGAGGAACACCGGUGGCGAAGGCGGCUAUCUGGACAGAGUCUGACGCUGAGGCGCGAAAGCUAGGGGAGCAAACAGG